AUUGAACGCUGGCGGCAGGCUUAACACAUGCAAGUCGAGCGGGGGAAGGUAGCUUGCUACCGGACCUAGCGGCGGACGGUUGAGUAAUGCUUAGGAAUCUGCCUAUUAGUGGGGGACAACAUCUCGAAAGGGAUGCUAAUACCGCAUACGUCCUACGGGAGAAAGCAGGGGAUCUUCGGACCUUGCGCUAAUAGAUGAGCCUAAGUCGGAUUAGCUAGUUGGUGGGGUAAAGGCCUACCAAGGCGACGAUCUGUAGCGGGUCUGAGAGGAUGAUCCGCCACACUGGGACUGAGACACGGCCCAGACUCCUACGGGAGGCAGCAGUGGGGAAUAUUGGACAAUGGGGGGAACCCUGAUCCAGCCAUGCCGCGUGUGUGAAGAAGGCCUUAUGGUUGUAAAGCACUUUAAGCGAGGAGGAGGCUACUUUAGUUAAUACCUAGAGAUAGUGGACGUUACUCGCGGAAUAAGCACCGGCUAACUCUGUGCCAGCAGCCGCCGUAA
rnacentral:rRNA from 1 species